rnacentral:rRNA from 1 species
AGCGAACGCUGGCGGCAGGCCUAACACAUGCAAGUCGAACGGAUCCUUCGGGAUUAGUGGCGGACGGGUGAGUAACACGUGGGAACGUGCCCUUUGGUUCGGAACAACUCAGGGAAACUUGAGCUAAUACCGGAUGUGCCCUUCGGGGGAAAGAUUUAUCGCCAUUGGAGCGGCCCGCGUCUGAUUAGCUAGUUGGUGAGGUAAAGGCUCACCAAGGCGACGAUCAGUAGCUGGUCUGAGAGGAUGAUCAGCCACAUUGGGACUGAGACACGGCCCAAACUCCUACGGGAGGCAGCAGUGGGGAAUCUUGCGCAAUGGGCGAAAGCCUGACGCAGCCAUGCCGCGUGAAUGAUGAAGGUCUUAGGAUUGUAAAAUUCUUUCACCGGGGACGAUAAUGACGGUACCCGGAGAAGAAGCCCCGGCUAACUUCGUGCCAGCCGCCGCCGCGG